GCAUCCUUAGCUCAGUUGGUAGAGCAACUGACUCUUAAUCAGUGGGUCCAGGGUUCGAGUCCCUGAGGAUGCACCA
rnacentral:tRNA from 2 species